rnacentral:rRNA from 1 species
CCCGGGUAGUAUAUAGCUAUUAUCUCGAAACCCAAAGAGUUUGGCGGUACCUCAGUCUAGUUAGAGGAGUUUGUUCCGUAAUCGAUAAUCCGCGAAGUAUCUUACGUGUUUUUGUCAUCAGUUUAUAUACCGUCGUUAUUAGAUAAUAUUAAAAGGUGAAUAAUUAUCUAAAUAUAUCAAAAUAUAAUAUAUCAGAUCAAGGUGUAGCUUAUAAACACGUCCGAAUGAACUACAAUUUAUAAAUAUAAAAACGGAUUUUGUUUUUAAAUAAAUAAUUAAAGGUGGAUUUAAUAGUAAUUG